rnacentral:rRNA from 1 species
GCACGAAAGGCGUAACGAUUUGGGCACUGUCUCAACGAGAGACUCGGUGAAAUCAUAGUACCUGUGAAGAUGCAGGUUACCCGCGACAGGACGGAAAGACCCCGUGGAGCUUUACUGUAGCCUGAUAUUGAAAUUCGGCACAGCUUGUACAGGAUAGGUAGGAGCCUUUGAAACGUGAGCGCUAGCUUACGUGGAGGCGUUGGUGGGAUACUACCCUAGCUGUGUUGGCUUUCUAACCCGCACCACUUAUCGUGGUGGGAGACAGUGUCAGGCGGGCAGUUUGACUGGGGCGGUCGCCUCCUAAAAGGUAACGGAGGCGCUCAAAGGUUCCCUCAGAAUGGUUGGAAAUCAUUCAUAGAGUGUAAAGGCAUAAGG